rnacentral:rRNA from 2 species
GACGAACGCGGCGGUGUGCUUAACACAUGCAAGUCGAACGGUAAGGCCCUUUCGGGGGUACACGAGUGGCGAACGGGUGAGUAACACGUGAGUAACCUGCCCUCAUCUCUGGGAUAACAGUCGGAAACGGUUGCUAAUACUGGAUAUGAGCUUGCAAGGCAUCUUGUGGGUUGGAAAGAUUUUUUGGUUGGGGAUGGACUCGCGGCCUAUCAGCUUGUUGGUGAGGUAGUGGCUCACCAAGGCUUCGACGGGUAGCCGGCCUGAGAGGGCGACCGGCCACAUUGGGACUGAGAUACGGCCCAAACUCCUACGGGAGGCAGCAGUGGGGGAAUAUUUGCACAAAUGGACGGGAAAGUUCUGAUGCAAGC